UACUCGAGUGGCGAACGGGUGAGUAACACGUGGGUGACCUGCCCUGCACUUCGGGAUAAGCUUGGGAAACUGGGUCUAAUACCGGAUAGGAGCCAUCUUUAGUGUGGUGGUUGGAAAGUUUUUUCGGUGUAGGAUGAGCUCGCGGCCUAUCAGCUUGUUGGUGGGGUAAUGGCCUACCAAGGCGGCGACGGGUAGCCGGCCUGAGAGGGUGUACGGCCACAUUGGGACUGAGAUACGGCCCAG
rnacentral:rRNA from 1 species